rnacentral:pre_miRNA from 1 species
CGUGUCACGUUCUUAUUGAAUGAUGACUAUUACGUGUCAUGUUCUGAUCGACCAAUGACAACAACAAUAAUUCGACAUCCAAUCAGAACAUGACACGUGACAGUCAUCAUUUAAUAAGAACGUGACAUA